rnacentral:lncRNA from 1 species
UGUAAGUGUAAACUACAAAGAAACUCGUUCGUAAAAGCACGGAAGACAGUUCUGCAGAAUCAAACGUAAACGUAAACUGUAAUGUACGAAAAUACGAAUUUACGUCUGAAUGCAGAUUCGGAAGAACAGCACUUAGAACUUGUUCGUGAAAGCGCAGAGAGCAGUAGUAAUGAAGGAGGUUUGCAGUAAUGAUAAAGUGCUAAAAAAUAAACGCAAACCAGAGAUUUAGAGUGGUUCGGUCAGCCUUGACCUACUCCACUUUUGGCUUCCUCCACCGACGAGGUCGCCGACGUCAACUAGGGGCCUUCCUUCAAUAGGCGAAGGCCAAACUUCCCUUUUACAGUUUCUCUCCUUUUGACAGGCUCAGGAGACAACCUUUACAGACCUUUCUCUCCUCACUUUACAGCUGAAAACUUGAAGAACAGAAGGAGGAGACUUAAAGGCUUUACAACACUUUUGAGCUCUUAGAAUCACAGAAAAGAUCAAGAUUUCGGUGUAGGUCUGUAUCUUUUCAGUGCUGAAUGGGUGGGGAAUUUAUAGGCCCCAACCCAAUUCAAAUUUGGAGCUCAAAACAAUCAAAUCCCGGAAUUCUAGGAUCAGGCGGUUGCACCUCUUGACUGGAGAGGUUGCACCGCCUGGCAGAGCUCGAAGACCGAGCUCAGGCGGUGCCACCUCUCUGCCAGGGAGGUUGCACCGCCCAGUCUUGCUCGAAGACUGAGCUCAGGCGGUGCCACCUCUCUACUAGGGAGGUUGCACCGCCCAGUCUUGCUCGAAGACUGAGCUCAGGCGGUGCCACCUCCCGGCUGGGGAG